rnacentral:rRNA from 1 species
UACAGAGGAUGCAAGCGUUAUCCGGAAUGAUUGGGCGUAAAGGGUCUGUAGGUGGUCUCCCCAGUCUGCUGUUAAAUGGUUGGGCUCAACCCAGCUAAGGCAGCACGAUACUAGGAGACUUGAGUGUGGUAGGGGCAGAGGGAACUCCCGGUGGAGCGGUGAAAUGCGUAGAUCUCGGGAAGAACACCAAAGGCGAAAGCACUCUGCUGGGCCGAGACUGACACUGAGAGACGAGAGCUAGGGGAGCGAAAGGG